ACUUCUUGCCAGAAUUGACGCGGAACGCUCGUGGCUCGCGCACAAAAUAGACCAGCCCUCCGUAGAGGCCCGCGGCGCUCCGCCCCUGGUGUGAACAACGCCAUAGUCAGCUGCUGGGGAUCAAUAUGGACAUAAAGUCACUUCACUCCAGUGAUGAAGCAGACCUGCAUCCUCCAGACACACAAACUGUCACACAACAUCUCUGAGCCUCAAACACACAUCCCAGAUGGAGGAAGACACUGCCACCAUGAGGGCCAGAUUCUAACCAGGCUACUGUUGGGCCAAGGCAUCGGAUGAUCUGCAGGUUUCAAGAACAGCGGCGACACCACGCGCUCCUCUCCUCCCCGACCCAGCUUAGACAGCAGCAACAGGGAGGGGCGCUGCACUGCAGUUUCUGAGUACAACAAACACUAAUUACACUAUUUAUUACUUUUUUUAAGUGAAAUGAGUGUUGCAUCAAACUGUUUAACAAAAAAGAAAAAUAUAUAUAUAUAAUCAUUGUUAUUUGGGGCCCCUUUAGCAGAUGGCGCCCUAGGCGGCUGCCUAUGCCCAUGGCCGGUCCUGAUAAAAGUCCAAUUAUAAUAAUAAUACUAUGUGUUUGGGCUACUAGGUUGUUUGAGGCAUUUUUUUCCAGCUGAGAAAAAAACAAAACUACAGAUGACGAGUUAACCACAGGUUAUUUUGCUGUCAUGUUCCUGGUCCGGCCCACUUAAGAUCAGACAGCUUGAAUGUGGCCCCCAAACCAAAAUGAGUUCAACACUCCUGAUCUCGUUGAAUUGGAAUAAUCUGAAAAAAAAUUUUAAUUGUUAAAACUUUGAUGUUUUUAAUCUUAAACCAAAUUGCAAUAAAUGCGUAUUUUAUUGAACCUUGUAAAAACGGUAAUAUUUUUGCCUUCUAAACUACAAUAAUGAGAUGACCUCAUAAAAGUUAGAAUCUCUCUUCAGAGAAAGAAGAAGCUCCACACUGCAGUUCUGGAGUUCCCUGCAUUUAUUUCUUUUUCUCCACUGUCUGUGCUCCAUGUGAGGAGCAUAAAUAUCUUACAGAACAACAGUUUGUUAUUUACAAGAUCAAAUGAGUGACGUACAUCUCACAUUGUCUGCUUGUUUGUAGCGCUGCAGGAGGAGAAAAUGACAAACUGUUUUACAGUCAGGCAGUCUAACAGACUCAAACCUACAACAACAAAAAAAGCUAAAAGUCUUUUGUUCUGUGGCAGGACAGCAGAGAAACAGAUGAGGAUCUCUAUGGGCUGAAGUCAGGAGGAACAAACUUCAGUGUCAACUUGAAAUAAAUCUGCCUUU